AACGAACGCUGGCGGCAUGCCUAACACAUGCAAGUCGAACGAGAUCUUCGGGUCUAGUGGCGCACGGGUGCGUAACGCGUGGGAAUCUGCCCUUUGGUUCGGAAUAACAGUUGGAAACGACUGCUAAUACCGGAUGAUGACGAAAGUCCAAAGAUUUAUCGCCAGAGGAUGAGCCCGCGUAGGAUUAGCUAGUUGGUGUGGUAAAGGCGAACCAAGGCGACGAUCCUUAGCUGGUCUGAGAGGAUGAUCAGCCACACUGGGACUGAGACACGGCCCAGACUCCUACGGGAGGCAGCAGUGGGGAAUAUUGGACAAUGGGCGAAAGCCUUAUCCAGCAAUGCCGCGUGAGUGAUGAAGGCCUUAGGGUUAUAAAGCUCUUUUACCCGGGAUGAUAAUGACAGUACCGGGAGAAUAAGCUCCGGCUAACUCCGUGCCAGCCGCCGCGGUAA
rnacentral:rRNA from 1 species